rnacentral:rRNA from 1 species
UACAGAGGGGGCAAGCGUUGUUCGGAAUUACUGGGCGUAAAGGGCGCGUAGCGGCCGCCUAAGUCAGACGUGAAAUCCCUCGGCUCAACCGGGGAACUGCGUCUGAUACUGGGUGGCUUGAAUUCGGGAGAGGGAUGGCGGAAUUCCAGGUGUAGCGGUGAAAUGCGUAGAUAUCGGAGGAACACCGGUGGCGAAGGCGGCUUGCCUGGACCGACAU